rnacentral:rRNA from 1 species
UCCUACGGGAGGCAGCAGUGGGGGAUAUUGCACAAUGGGGGGAACCCUGAUGCAGCGACGCCGCGUGGGUGAAGAAGCGCCUCGGCGCGUAAAGCCCUGUCAGCAGGGAAGAAAAUGACGGUACCUGAAGAAGAAGCCCCGGCUAACUACGUGCCAGCAGCCGCGGUAAUACGUAGGGGGCAAGCGUUAUCCGGAUUUAUUGGGUUUAAAGGGUGCGUAGGCGGAAUGCCAAGUCAGCGGUAAAAUCGCGGGGCUCAACCUCGCUCCGCCGUUGAAACUGGCGUUCUUGAGUGGGCGAGAAGUAU